AUUCACCAUACAUACGUUCAGAUAUGACUACACAUAUGCAUAUACACUUUCAAGGUUUCAGCAUGAAUUGGUGACUCAGAUGUCUCAAUUCAUUCUACCCAUUCGUCCACAAAACUGGUAUGAUAAAAAAUUUGUGACAUUACCUAUUUUUCUGUUUUCGUGGGUGGAUGAAAAUGAAUCAGGUAGGUAGUAAAACUGGAACUUGGGAAAGAGUCCAGGGGUUGGAAGAGAAGCCGUGCCUAGGGACGUGUACACUGGCAUCCUUUCUCAACGUUGUUUCCCUCCAGUGGAGGUGGGAGGAGUGGAAGGUGUAUAAGAAGAUGUCUGGAUCUGCGAGGAAGUUUUCUAAAUUUCAUGCAUUUGGGGAUCACCUUCUAUGAAAGAGGAAUCAAACAAACGUAGGAUGGGAGGAAUGUACCCAAGAUGUGGAGAAGAAGUUGCAAGGAUUAGGAAAUGAAAAACGUUUCAAUAACACAAUCAUCAACACCUCCCAUCUCCACCAAGGUAAAAAACAAAACAAAGCCUAGAAUGGGGGCUUUAGACUGUUGUCAGUUCGGAUUCUGUAUCAUUCAUUCAUUCAUUCAGCAUUCAUUACAGCAGUCAAAAGCCCUUGAGGGUGGAGUGUAAGGUGAUGAUAAUGAUGAUGAUUUUCCC
rnacentral:lncRNA from 1 species